rnacentral:tRNA from 1 species
GGGGAUUUAGCUCAGUGGCAUACGCGCCUGCCUUGCAAGCAGGCAGUGGGGGGUUCAAUCCCCG